UAAUACAGUCGAGACCGACGGUCAUGUAACACAAUAAGAAUGAAUUCUGAAUUAUUUAAAACUGUUGAUUUAUUUCGCUCUAUGUUCAGUGUCAAUAACACACUCCCGGACCGGCUGCUUCUCACAGAGAACAGACCAGUUUUGUCAAACUGGGCAGCUGUAUCCCGACCAAAGUCUGAGCACGCAAAUUAAAAACGUUAUUAUUACAGCCCAGGCACUUCAUUCAUGUUCGAAAGGCUUAUUUCUGGAGAAACUUUUUCAGAUUCCGCUGUUUCAAUGGGGAAUUUUCUACGUCUUCUUCCAAAGUGCCUUUUCACCGUCAAAUACAAACACCCCGAAGAUCUCUUUGAACCUGUUCAUUCAUAUUCAAGUUCAUUUACAGAAAGCAGCAGGCAGCCCGAGCGCUUUAAUCGAAGUAUGUUCAUCUAAAAAGCCAGAAGCCAGGCCAACAGUUUAACGGGACUGUCACUGUGAUUGUUUUAAAAAUCUUCCGUCUUUCACAGCUACAAUCACAUCAAUCCGGUGCUGAAGGACCUCCUGCAAGAAUCUGGGCAGAAUUUAGAUAAAAGAUACUGCAGCUCUGGAAUCAGGCAAGAAAAGCGCAACCAGAUACAUUUCAGGGCUUAAGGGAAGGAGCUGAAUCUUUUUACUGAUGAGCCAAGACGACUAUGAAGGCACUUAAUUCAACUUUCAUAAACUUCACAGACACCGACAAAGGCAGCUAAACAGAGAUCUACAGAAUUAACGGUGAAAUAUGAUGUCACAUUGACACAAAUCGAACCGGGAAAAUUGAAAUCGGGUACCUUCUUUACACAAAGGGUGGCAGGGGUAUGGAACACGCUACCCACCAAUGGGAUCUUUCAGUUUAUUUAAUAUGAACAGCUUCAAGCACCAGGCAGCCCGAAAGUGAUCCUCUCAGCUCUUAUGUUUUAUUUUUUUAGGGAAUGCAAAAGCGCUUCCAAAAACAAAAGUGCGCAACAACACCUCCAUCAACGCCAUCCUUCUCCAAAAGAAACCGAGCUUUUAUAACAAGUAAAAACAUCGCUUUUCACGUUGACGUUUGUCUAAGACACAGUGUCCGGAAGUUUGUAUUUCUCCUUCCUAUUCUUCACCGUGGAAUCGCUCUGUAGUUGUUGCUGAUUUCCAGUAAAUGAGCGCUGGACAGCGGUGGGUAACGCGGGUCUCUGGAGCCGAUCGAGGCGCUCAGACGCCAUUGCAGCUCCUGCACGGCGAGUCACGAGGGUUCCGGCAACACAGCACACCCGCAUCACGUGACGAGGCCGCCGCUGGCCUGCAGGCUGUUCGUCAGAUUGCAUGGUGGGAUACAGUUUGUGAUUGACAGUGAGUUUACCCAAUAGCUAACGAGUCCUUCCCCGGAUUGACCAAUGACAGCUGUGAUUGCUGUAGAGGGGCGGGGAUUACGAAACGUCCUGUUUUUGUUUUUAUUUUCAACAGUGACGAAGGAUUUACGUCGGACACGUGGCUUUUAACUUGAUGUUUUGUAACAGUUUGUUACAAGUUGUUUAUCAAUUUGUAAACCUGGAGACUGCGAAGACGUCCCUUCCCCGUGGUGCGUAGCAGUACGUCACUGCAUCCCCACACACAUCAGACAGAGCUGUGAGCCCUAAAACAGCAGGACCCCACAGUGAGAGGCCCUUCAGAUUCUAAACCAGAGCUUCGUUGUCUCUGGUGUGGUGUGAGCAGUCCGGUCCGGUCCGAGCCAGCAGCAUCACUGGGUCACACACAGUCCUCCCCAGCCUGGCUACAGACUGGGAGGAACCACCUGCUCAUCUCCAGGACCUUCAGCUUGUUAUUACUGGACCGGCACCACAGGGGAGAGAAGGAGUACCUCCACUCUAGAAAUAUGCUCUGUGUCGGUGAGAGCUGUUCCUCGCCUUGAUGAGGAUUCAGUCACACAGCGGUCUCAGCAGCCUGAAAAGGCUUAUUGCAGACACUUAUUGCAGACAAAAACCGCAUCCUCUGGCUGCAAAACGUGUAAAAGCAAAGAGGGCGAUAACUUCAGGGUCAACAGUUUGGCUUGAAUUCUCGAUACCCUCAUGAGAUACUGCAGAGACGCAAAACGCAGUAUCCUAUUCACAAAGCCUUUGAGGAAUAGUGUGCAUCCCAGAUCUGUGGCUGAUAAAUUGUAAGUGGAUAAUUAUUUCCAGAUUCGAAUAUCACUUCUUGGUUCUGUAAUGAAUUGGUUUCAACACCAGUGUUGCUUAUUUCUAAACUGUGGUUAUUUGUAAACUGUGACUUCUUUAAUGCUAUUGUACCUGUGAUGCGUACAUAAUAUGUACUUCUGUAUUUCAAUUAUGAAUUACCUUAAGAAUAGAUUGCUUUUAUUUCGUUAUGUAUUGUUUAUUACCAGCAGUUUUCUAAUACAUUCCUUAAUUGACUAGUAUUCAACAAAUCUCCAUAUGCCCCAAAACUGUUAUUUUGUCUUUAUUUUAUUAUAGUGGGGUUUUGUUUUAUAUUAGCAUUUUAGUUAUAUGUUUCUAUUU